UUCCACUGGGUAGUUACCAAUUUUGCACCAUUCCGUAUAAGUUAUUUAUUCAUUCUUCAUCCUCUUUUUCUUCUACCUUCUCUCCCUCUCUAUAUGCCUUCUUUCCUAUUUCUUGCUACAACCUUGAAACAAAUCCCACUACAAGUUUACACUAUUUAGUCAUAUUUAGGAGCUAAUUCCUUCACUUAUUACGACAAGAAAAGUCCACAACAACUUCAAAGGUUAGAUUCUUUUCUUUUACGUUAAACCUUCGAUCUCUCCCUUCUAUUCCUAAAUUUGCAACCCCUUUCUUCCCUACAUCACUAUCACGACCAUCACAUCAGACCUUAACCUGUAAGACUGCAACCCCUAUUCCUUAUGACUCUUAAGGAUUACAAACAUCUCCAAUACUUUAACUAUUUAGUCAAAACUCUCUCUAAUCUAUGAUAUUAUAAUAUAUUCUCAAGUAUUUGUUCUGCUAUGACCCAAUUAUAGAGACAAUGGCAUGAACACUGCUUAUCUAUGUAAGGAUGUUAGUUUUUUACUUUCUAAUUGUUUUUGCCGUGAUAAAAAAAGAUUUAAUUUUGAUCAAAACUAUAGAGGUAGAGUAAAAAACUUUGAAACAAACAGAAUUUCUAUUGCUUUAUAUAUUUAUUUGGGUAGGUAGAGGAAAUCUGAUGAUGGGCUUUGUUGGUGAUAGAAAUAGAUAUUUGAAUAAUCAUUUUGAACAAUUCAGAAACUACAAGAUUGGAUUCAUCUAAUUUCUUGCAAGGCUAAGUAAGAGUCCUCCAACGACCGGCGAUCACACAACAAAUUCAAGGUAGCGGAAACUUGCACCCAAGUUGUUUUGAGGGUUAUCAAUGGAUUGUAGCCAACUUGCUCAACUUUUUUCAAGCAGAAGGUUGUAGGUGUAGCUGAUUUUGUGGGGUCGAGGUGGAAGAUGCUCUUCAUGCUGUCUGGGGCUAUUCCAAAAUUCAGUUGGUCUGGCAGCAUGACAUGAUGGAAUGUGUGUUCAAUAGCUAGCCUUCUUUCGCUGAACUCAUGGAUUGGGCUUGGGUUAGGGACCGAAAAACAUGUGAACUCACUACCAUGCUAUCAUGGGUACCGUGGCAAUGAAGAAACAAGAUUCAACCAGCUUGUGCUAACGAGAAGGAAUGAAAUCAUACAAUGGGCUAUUAUGUAUAUUCUAAUUAUGCUUAAGAAACAAAAGCACAUAAGGAUGGGCUGUUAUAUUUAUUCUAAUUAUGCCUCUUGUUUUAAUACAUAGU